rnacentral:lncRNA from 1 species
CAGAUUUUUGGCCCAUCUUUAGAACAAGAUGCUUCUAACAUUCAGCAUAUGGGUUAGGCAAUGUUUUGAACCUGCGAAUUAAACUCAAAUCAUAAUGUUUAAUUAAAAUUAGAAGUUUUUUGAAAGGAAAACAAAUACACAAAAAGCAAUAUAUACUAUUUCCCAAAUUACUUAUUCAUUCUAACGCUAUCACCAGAAUUAUUAUGUAUAUGCUAUGAAAAAUAUCACUAAAGAAUUGGCAAAAGUCUUAUUUAGUUCAAAACCAAAGAAGAAAAAUUAAAACAUGCAACUUACAAAACAUUAGGUUUGUCACACAUAGCCAAGUUCCAAACUUAUACAAUUUUUUAAAAGUAUGAUAUCAAAGCAGAAAAAAGCAAAAGUGAACAUAUAAAAAAUGCUUAUUAAGCAAAUAUGAGGUACCAUUAUCACACUAGAACAUUUUUAAUAACAUUUAAUUAACUAUAUAAUGGCUAUGUCUGCUCUUAGUACCUUACUUUCAAUCUGGAAUCUUUUCUGUUUUAUAUGGCUUGUUUUCUUGUUCUGCUUUGUUUGAAGAAGUGAAUGUAAAUGGAAGAAAAUGUUUAAAGGAGAAAGUUACUGGGCAUCUUAUCAACAUUCCCUGCAGGGUCCUGGAGAAUAAUGGAAAUCAUUUGUGGGUAUGAGUCAGCCUUCUACCUUGUCAGGUUUCACCAUCCGGGUUUGAAAUAAGAUUCUUAUAAUCAAAUCUCACAUCCUGCCCAUUCAAAUGCCUCCUUCCUCUUCUAUCCACAGUACACACCAGCAAUCCUUCCCUAGGGCCUUCCUGCUUAAGAGUACAUCAGGUACCAAGUCAAAGGCAGGACCAAUAGGACAUUAGCAACAGGAACCUAAAGCCCAAAGCCAAAGGAUGCCCAAGAGGUCAGAAAACUUAGGCCUAAGGACAGAGGAAAUGUCUCCAUAGAGUAUGUUGACAUGAUUUGAUCAACAAAACAAUGACACAAUGUGUUCUACCAUGAUUAACCAAAAUAAUAAUAAUAAUAAUAACAGGUUUGUUUUCUUUUGGUGGUGCUGGGUAUCAAACCCAGAACCCUGUACAUGCUACUAGGCACACUACUACUAAGCCUCUACUAAGUUUUUGAACUUCAAAUAGCCGGGUUGAUGAGAAGGAUGAUGCCUAAUUUGUUAAUUUAUCUCAUGGCAUCAUCCUAAAUGCUAACUUUCUACUAAAUAAGUGUGUGUGUGUGUGUGUGUGCGCGUGCACACGCGCACACGUGCGGUAUGUUUGUAACCAAUUAGUAUGUCUAUUUUUAAGGCAGUAUAACAAAAGGAAAAUACAAAUAUUACCCUUUUCAUUUUCAAUGGUAACAAAUACUUCAAUCAGGGAAAAUUAAAAUUAUUUUGGUAGUUUUUAUAUGGCCCUGGACCCAAAGUGUAAUAGCCAUUUAAACAAAACUUUAGCGAAAGAUAUUAGGGGUGGAGAGAAAGCCAUAUUGAAAAAUUAUACUUUGCUAUACAUCUAAUUACAAAUAAGUCAUUUUGGGAAUAGACUUUUUAAAAAUUCUCUCAUGUAAACAUAUAUUUA